UACGUAGGUGGCAAGCGUUGUCCGGAAUUAUUGGGCGUAAAGCGCGCGCAGGCGGCCUUUUAAGUCUGAUGUGAAAGCCCCCGGCUCAACCGGGGAGGGUCAUUGGAAACUGGAAGGCUUGAGUACAGAAGAGAAGAGUGGAAUUCCAUGUGUAGCGGUGAAAUGCGUAGAGAUGUGGAGGAACACCAGUGGCGAAGGCGACUCUUUGGUCUGUAACAGACGCUGAGGAGCGAAAGCAUGGGGAGCGAACAGG
rnacentral:rRNA from 1 species